rnacentral:rRNA from 1 species
GACGAACGCUGGCGGCGUGCCUAAUACAUGCAAGUCGAACGAACCGCGACCGAGUGCUUGCGCUUGGUCAAGGUGAGUGGCGAACGGGUGAGUAACACGUGGGUAACCUACCUCAUAGUGGGGGAUAACAGUCGGAAACGACUGCUAAUACCGCAUAGGACAUAGGAUCACAUGAUUCCGUGAGGAAAGGUGGCGCAAGCUAUCGCUAAGAGAUGGACCCGCGGUGCAUUAGCUAGUUGGUAGGGUAAAGGCCUACCAAGGCGAUGAUGCAUAGCCGACCUGAGAGGGUGAUCGGCCACAUUGGGACUGAGACACGGCCCAAACUCCUACGGGAGGCAGCAGUAGGGAAUCUUCCGCAAUGGACGCAAGUCUGACGGAGCAACGCCGCGUGAGUGAAGAAGGUCUUCGGAUCGUAAAGCUCUGUUGUUAGAGAAGAACAGCGCAUAGAGUAACUGAUAUGCGUGUGACG